CCUACGGGUGGCAGCAGUGGGGAAUAUUGGACAAUGGGCGAAAGCCUGAUCCAGCCAUGCCGCGUGUGUGAAGAAGGCCUUCGGGUUGUAAAGCACUUUCAGUGGGGAAGAAAGCCUUGGGGCUAAUACCCUCGAGGAAGGACAUCACCCACAGAAGAAGCACCGGCUAACUCCGUGCCAGCAGCCGCGGUAAUACGGAGGGUGCGAGCGUUAAUCGGAAUUACUGGGCGUAAAGCGCGCGUAGGCGGUCUGAUAAGCCGGUUGUGAAAGCCCCGGGCUCAACCUGGAACGGCAUCCGGAACUGUCAGGCUAGAGUGCAGGAGAGGAAGGUAGAAUUCCCGGUGUAGCGGUGAAAUGCGUAGAGAUCGGGAGGAAUACCAGUGGCGAAGGCGGCCUUCUGGACUGACACUGACGCUGAGGUGCGAAAGCGUGGGUAGCAAACAGGAUUAGAUACCCCAGUAGUC
rnacentral:rRNA from 1 species